rnacentral:rRNA from 1 species
AACGAACGCUGGCGGCAGGCUUAACACAUGCAAGUCGAGCGCGUAGCAAUACGAGCGGCAGACGGGUGAGUAACGCGUGGGAAUCUACCCAUCUCUACGGAAUAACCCAGGGAAACUUGGACUAAUACCGUAUACGUCCUUCGGGAGAAAGAUUUAUCGGAGAUGGAUGAGCCCGCGUUGGAUUAGCUAGUUGGUGGGGUAAUGGCCUACCAAGGCGACGAUCCAUAGCUGGUCUGAGAGGAUGAUCAGCCACACUGGGACUGAGACACGGCCCAGACUCCUACGGGAGGCAGCAGUGGGGAAUAUUGGACAAUGGGCGCAAGCCUGAUCCAGCCAUGCCGCGUGAGUGAUGAAGGCCCUAGGGUUGUAAAGCUCUUUCACCGGUGAAGAUAAUGACGGUAACCGGAGAAGAAGCCCCGGCUAACUUCGUG